UGUUCUGUGAUUAGCUUAUAACAUUUUAAGACUAUAAUUAAAACGAUCUUAACAUUGAUUAUGAAUUCUGGCUAUAGAUGCUGGCUAUGCUUCCCUUUCAGAAGACACAAAUAUUCUGUUCUUUUUACAUUCAAUAAAUAACAAAGAUAGAACAAUAUUUAUCGAUUGUAUCUCCUAAAAGCAAAGCAGCCAUAAAGUCUGUUUUUUAUUCCUGCACUAGACUACAUUAGAACUUUCUUUCUCGCUUUCGCUAAAUAUCAAAUAUUAUGUUUAUUUCACUUUAAGUUUCAAAAGUGCAUACUAGUUCGGCUAAAAAAAAUAGACUUAUUAUAAUCAACUUUGAUAAUGAACCUGUACAAUACAAAUCAUUCCUACUAUUCCAUUGUUCAAUAAUAUUGCAGUUGCAAACGUUACAAUAAUGUUGCUACAAAUUUAUGUGCUGUAUGGAAAAUAAUAUAGGUAGAUUCUGUUCAAUAAUGUGACAAUGGAUGCUUUUUAUUUGGUGACACAAAUUAACAUUUCUAUCUUUGUUAUGCAUUCAAAGUCAAGGAAAAUAGAAUGGUGCUUGUGUCGACUUGUCACUAAAUGGAAAAAAAACAUCCCAUAUUGGGUAUUUAAUCUUUUAAAAUAUUUAUAUGUUUUUACAUUCAACUUACUAGUUUCAGUAAUUUUUAGUAUGCAUUAAUUCAGUAUAAGUGACUGAAUUCGCUAAACAAUAAACCCAUGAGAGUGCUUUUUGACAUAUUCCAGAUAGCAAUGUGUCAGUCUUAUUGCUGGCAUGUUACUUGCUCAGUAUGCAUUGCUAAGUAUGUUGCUACCAGAAUUAUAGAAACUGAGUCCAUUUCUUAGUAACUUGACGUCUUCACGAUAUGACAACUUUGAAUAGCAACUUGCCAGCAAUUUACCAACAACUUUAAAAUCGUCAUCAUCAAAAUUCGUAUUAUUGCCGUCAUGUACGUUGCCUGUAUAAUAAUAUGCAUCAUACAAUGACUGCAUUCAGAGAAAAUCAGUUAGCGCUUAGUGAUUCUUUAAUAUAAUUGAUCCUUGUCUUUAGUUCUUCGCUAAACCUAAGUAUAGGAUCCAAUCGUAUUAAAGAAUCAGCACUAACUGAUUAGUUUUCUCUGUUGAACGCAGCUAUACCCAUAUAGCACAGAUCAUUUCAGCAAUCUCGCAGCAAUAUUGCAACGUUUCAGCAGUAUUGCAGCAACAUUGUAAAUAGCACUGCAAGCUUUUAUGCUGUAAGGGAUAUUACCGAACAAUGCAAGGUUGAUGCAGCUAUCUUGCCGUUAAACUGCUAACAAUACAUAAUACACUGUUGCCUGCAUGUUGCUACAGGUAUAUUCGAAGUCAUUGAAGAUAAAUCUACAGCAAGUUGCGAGCAUCGUAUGCAGAUUUGUAUGAUUUUGACAGGAAAGGCUUGCUACCUGGUGUGUUCAUCGAUAUAUAAGAACGAGUCACGUAUAUACAUUAUUGUUUAAAUAUAAUCAUAAACAUAGUUCAACAUAAAAACGUAUAUAUCGUCAAUCGAAAUCUAUUGAAAUCUUUCCAUGCUACAGCCAUGUUGCAAGAUGGAGCGAGAAAGUGUCGAUCGAGUCUUGGUUACGCGACCAGAAUGUGCAUGCACGUCGUUAUUGUAUUGUAUAUGUACUUACAAUUGCAGGCGACACUGCGCGACUAUAUGUCUGCUCAUGACGUGCUGCUAAUAUCAAACUCGCUGCGUCAGACCAGGCCUUCAUCUUUCCACGAUUUCUCUUGCACACGUGAAAAAAAACGGUUGGCCAUCAAAUCAACACAAUAAAUUACAGUUUCACUUGCUUGCUA
rnacentral:lncRNA from 1 species